GACGAACGCUGGCGGCGUGCUUAACACAUGCAAGUCGAACGAAGAGCGAUGGAAGCUUGCUUCCAUCACUCUUAGUGGCGAACGGGUGAGUAACGCGUAAUCAACCUGCCCUUCAGAGGGGGACAAAAGUUGGAAACGACUGCUAAUACCGCAUACGAUCUAACCUUGGCAUCGAGGAUGGAUGAAAGGUGGCCUCUAUUUAUAAGCUAUCACUGAAGGAGGGGAUUGCGUCUGAUUAGCUAGUUGGAGGGGUAACGGCCCACCAAGGCGAUGAUCAGUAGCCGGUCUGAGAGGAUGAACGGCCACAUUGGGACUGAGACACGGCCCAGACUCCUACGGGAGGCAGCAGUGGGGAAUCUUCCGCAAUGGACGAAAGUCUGACGGAGCAACGCCGCGUGAGUGAUGACGGCCUUCGGGUUGUAAAGCUCUGUUAAUCGGGACGAAAGGCCUUCUUGCGAAUAGUUAGAAGGAUUGACGGUACCGGAAUAGAAAGCCACGGCUAACUACGUG
rnacentral:rRNA from 1 species